rnacentral:lncRNA from 1 species
AUCACUUUUUAAUGAGAUCCUACAUAAAAAAAAAGUACAACCAGGUCCUCCGCAGUACACAGCUUUAUACGACCGCAGUGGUCGAACCCUGAACGGUUGAAUCAAUUUGGUCAUAAUAUUCCAGCUUGAUAAUGCCUGGACACAUAACCCCAAUAAUGAAUCCAAACCUUCUACUUGUGGUUUUAAUCAUUGUGUUAGAAUUUCAGAGCAAUUGAAAUACUAAUACACAAGUUAUUAUCCAUAAACUAGAAAAAUGCUUGUUUUGGGCCCCUAAUUCCGUAACAGUUAGGACCAUCAUCCCUAAAAUCAAUCCCAACCUUCUUUUUGUGGUAUUGAACCGUCUGAAAAAAGAUCUAUUCACUUAAACUAAAGUUAUUGGCCAGAAAUCAAUGUGUCUUCAGACGACGCAAACGACGCAACAUCAUACCAUUAUACGAUUCCAAAUUUUUUUUUGCGGUCGUAUAAAAAUUACCUCAUAUGAAAGAAUAUGUUUUCAAAUCAAAAACAUGAAUAAAUUUCACUACAAAAAAAACAAACUCUG